rnacentral:tRNA from 1 species
GGAAGCGUAAGUUAAUUGGGAAACUCACAGUGUUUGUUCGUCUGAAUGCAAGUUCGAUUCUUGCCGCUUCCA